ACGGCCGGGCGCGCCCGGGCCACCUGGCCGGGCCACCUGCGUCACCGUCCCCACCUGGCCGGCCGGCGCUCACGUGACCCCGCGGCCGGGCCGCAGGUGUCCGCCCCCGGACCGCCCACCCCGCCCGCUGCGGCCCGGCCGGCGUCGCCCGCGGGCUUGGGGCGUGCGUGGCCGGGCAGUGACCCUGAGCGGGCUCCCGCCUUCCUUCCCGGCCUGGCUAGCCUGCCUCCUCCUCCAGGAAGCCCUCCUGGGAGCCGACCGGCGCAGAGAGGAACCUGAUCUUCUCAAGGCAGGAAAGGCGCCACCUUCUGGAUUCUUUCAAAAGUGCGGCCGGAGGGCGGCCCAGCACCGCACAAAACACUCUUCGCCCUUGUUGAUGUGAGACUUUGGGGUCCGGGAGCCCAUGGUCGAGAAGGAAUACUUGAGAGGUGCCUGGCUGGCCCAGCGGGGAGAGCGUGUGACCCUGGGGUGCUGGUGUCCCAGAAAGAGAAGGCUCGUGGAGGACAGCCGCGGCGCCCUUGGAAGCCCCUGGCGCAAGGGGCGUGUUCGUUAUGGCAGCACGUCCUGGUGAGCCCUGACCGUGCCACCUCCCUUCUUCCUGAUGUCACAGCCCUUCAUCUGGGGCCAGCCCAGGGUUCAUCUGUAGCAAGACGCCUUCUCCUUCCUGCUUUCCUUCUCCUUUCGCUUGGAGGGCAGCAAGGAGCCGCUCAGGUGGGAGCAACGGGCCGAAAUGAUCAGAUCUGAUGGAAAGACCCCUCAGGCAGCAGAGGAGAGGGCAGGGAGGACGCUGAAGCAGACACCCUGAGCCCCAACCCAGACCAGGGAAGCUGAUGUCUUGCCUCUGGAAUGCUUUCAGGGCGGGGAGCUCACCCCCUCCCAAUACAGAUCGUUGCAUUGUCUGCCUUCAUCACAUUUUUUAGACGUUCCUGGCGUGACGUGGUAUCCAGAUUUUUCAUCAUCCUGGCGUAUUCCCCCAAGACACUUCAAAAUGUGCCAGAAUCCUUCUCAAAAUGUGGUCUUCGGAACAGAACCCGGUACCACGCCAGUAUAAGAAAACGGGGAAAGACUCACCUCCUCUCUUCUGGAUAUGAUACCUCUGUUAAUACAGCCUCUUCCUGCUGCAGCCCUUACAUGUAUCCAUCCCACAGCACAGAGCCCGAGGCCCUACAUGCAGCAGGGGCUCAGCCAGUGCCUGGUGACUCACUGAUGUGAUCUGAGGUCCCAGGACUCAGCCCCAGAGAUGGCGAGUGCCAGUCUCCUUCUGACCUGUCUCCAGGUUCCCUUUUCCGGAAAGGCCCAUUGCUAAAUUUCCAUUUGAACGCACUGGGACGUGCAUUUGGGUGAAUUUUCAGACCACCUUGGUGCCUGUGCUGACCCCAGGCCUUGGUGCGGUGGGCAAGGUGCAGGGGCGUGUCAGCCCGCAGGGCACAGUCUAGCCCGGGGGGCAUAGGCCCGCCCUCCCCUGGCAGCUCCCUCUCCAGGGCUGGGUGAGGGGGUGCCACAGCCUCACAGGGCCGACUUGGCCUUUUCUUGGGUGUCGUGCUUUGAAGGGUCCCGCCCAGCACACCUGUGGCCGGCCCGAUGCUUGCCCGGCGUCGGGGCUCCCAUCCCCUGCCACGGGGUGUAGGUGCCACCUGGGGGACCCAGGUUGCCCACGGGAAGGUGCCCAAUGGGGCCGUCAGUGCUAUCGGUGUGUGUUUUGGGUAGGGGGUGCCGAUGGCUGACCCCUGUGGGUGGACAGCUUCUGGGCAGCACCCUGGGAAAGGUGGGGCGCUGCUGCCCUCCAGAGGCCAUCUUGGGUACUGCACCCACAGGCCCAGCCUGUAGGAAGGGGAGCUGGUGGGCCUUGGGCCUUGGGGGGAGGGAGGGGGGAGACGAGGGCCCGCGGGUGCCUGACCCCCACUCAGUGCUUUCCUAUAAGACGCAUCUUCAGAACUCUGCUUGGUCAUUGCAGGGUUAAUCCCCACCCCAGCCCUUCCUGCCCAGUACCUACUUGGCCCCACCAGCACCCCGAAUCUGGCUCUGUCCCCAAACUGGGGGGCUCUGGGGGACAUCUCCUUGUCUCCAGCUGGCUCAGUGUGUGGUUGGGGCCAGGUGACCCGGAGCGAGUGGCUUGCCUUCCCCAGGCCCCUGCUGUCUCAGUCGCAAGCUGGGGGUUAGUGAUGAUCGUCUAAGUAGUGUAGACCUUGUUCUCAGGUGGGGCCUGGAAGGGAGCGGCUCCGGGGUCAUAAGUGGGGGGAGAAGGACCCCAGGGCUGCCCGCAGGGGUGAGUCUUUGCAACUCUCUGCGCCCUGUGGCUGAGACCACGAGUGCCGGGGGCCAGGGGACACAGUGGUCGGGGACACAGUGGCCCUCCUUCCCCGCUUCGGGCCUCCGGGCUGGCCCCGCCCCUGGCUGACAGAUGAAGGCUGCUUAUCUCAUGAAACCCCACGAGGCCCUCUGCAGGGCCCCCCAACGUCAAAAAUAAGGACCCCAGUGUUUGCUCCCCGAAGCUCAGGGCCUUUGCACAUGCCAUGGUUUCUGCCUGGGAUCCUCUUCCUCGGCAGUCUUCACGGAGCCGUCCCCCGAUCGUGCACACCUUUGCCUCAAGCACACCUUCUCAACCAGGCCUUUGCUCACCACCCCACAGAGGAAGGAAGGCGCUCCUCACCAAACUCAUUACUCCCGGUUCCUUGAGAUGUAAGUAAGACAACGUCAGAGUAGAACAGGCCGGGCCCUAAAUCCAGUGCUCAGUGUCCUCAUACAAAGGGGGACAUUUAGACACAGAAUAGAGAAGGCCAAGGGACGACAGAGGCAAGGGCUGGAGUGACGUGGUCACAGGCCGAGGGACACGAGGAUGGCUGGCAGCACCAGAGGCUGGAAGAGACGAGAAGGACCCUGCCCUGGAGCCCCCGGAGGGCAGGCGUUCAGACCUCCAGCCUCCAGACGUGACAGGACCCGCUUCUAUGGCUUAGAGCAGCCCAGGGAGCAGAUUCAGGCAGCUGUCUCCCUGUCUCCUCUGCCCUCCGGUGAGUCCUCUGCUUUGCUCAUCUGUUUCCCGGUGUCCCUCUGGGCCUUGGACGCCCGCUUGUGGGGGUGGGAGCGGGCUGAUCUGCAGAAUGGUGGCCGGUCGGCCCGGGUUUCACGGGCCUUCGUGUGGCGG